AUAUUUGUUGCUUAGUGGUAGAGCAAUGGCGCAUAAAGCCAGGGAUCCGGGUUCGAUUCCCGGCGAAGGCG
rnacentral:tRNA from 1 species